GGCGCAAUUGUAAAUAACCCGAACAGUGAAACGUCAUAUUAAGCUAUCCGAUAGACAAAUUAUCGUACAAGCUGGCAUCAAAAUUUGAAGUAAGUUACAGAAAAGUUGGAUGGCGUUAGAUUCUAACUACCUUCCGUUAAAUACAUUAUUUAAAUAGGGUAUUACAUUUGAUCAGUUGUUGAAGUGUAGUAAUAGGGUCGCCGCUAUAAGGGUGGGAGACGGAGCUACUACUGGGAGUCUACGAACACCGUUGAAGGCUGUGCUUGAUAACCUGAAGAAUGGUACGACGACAUGCACCCAAGUUCUUGAAGAUCUGCAGCAACCUAGGAAGAUUGUUAUAAGGCACAAGGUUGCAACACAAAAUCAACCUGUACUUGGAGCGACUGAUUUGGAUUUUGUUGCUAAGGAUGAUGUGCUUGUUGUUGGUUAACAAAGUGGUAUAUAAGACAUUAUGUUAGAUUGAGGUUGCAUAGGCAUGCAUUAUAAGGAAGGACAAGAGUAGUUGGUGUUAAGUUUGUUGCCCCCUUAUGUUUAAACUUGUUAAGUUGUCUUUUGUUAAGUUGUUGAACAUGGAUAAUAGUUUGUAAGCACUCUGUAUUGUGCAUUGAAACACAUAUUGCUAAGUAUGUUAUGGUUUGCUUUA